CAGGAAAAGGAUUUAAGUCCUACCUUAAGUUUCUUCGUAACUCUAAUUACUUCACAAAACUUAAGAGCUAUUCAAAUAAGGUACAGCCUAUUUGAAACAGGAUACAACCUACAACAUUGGGUAAUGAAUUCUGCUUCAUAAUUAAGUGGGCCUAAGAGCAGCCACCUUUAAAAAAGCGUUAAAGCUUUAUUAUACUAGCUCAAUAAUUACAUUAAUCCCCCAAAACCCUUAUCUCAUACUGAGUGAUUUCAUAAUAUUAUGAAAAACCAUAUGCUAGAACUAGUAACAAGAAGAAGACCUUCUCCAAAAAUGUACGUAUAAGCCAAAAUGAACAACUCAUUGGCAUUUACCGCUUAUGAACUAACAGUAGUAACUCAACAAGAAAACUCUACUAUCCAUAACGUUAACCUUACACUAGCACAUUCCCGGAAAGAUUAAAAGGAAGGGAAGGAACUCGGCAAAUAAUAACCUCGCCUGUUUACCAAAAACAUCGCCUCCUGAAUAAUUAUAGGAGGUCCAGCCUGCCCAGUGACAAAGUUAAACGGCCG
rnacentral:rRNA from 1 species